rnacentral:lncRNA from 1 species
UGUGUGAACCUCCUCCAUGGCCACUAACCUCAAAUGGUUCAUAUCUUCCUUUGAGUUGGCGUGUGUUGGAUUAGUUUUCCAGCGACGUCUCUUUGAACUCUAGGAUUUCGAAAACCUAGAGAUAGGGCAAACACAUGAAUCGUGUGUCAUGUCAUUUGUCAAUACUACAAGAUGGAAGGAGGCAUGCUUUUGCACGUGAAGACAUAUAAUUUCUUAAACAUAUUUCUUAAACAUAUAAGCAUGUGCUUUGGAGCGGAUAAAAUUAUCCUACCAAAUUCCGUACAAAUAAAUUCUAUAUUAAUCGCAGUCCUAUGAAUUGAACAAUAGAAAGAAAAUCUUAAAGAUCAGAGUGCUCCAUUCAUUUGGUUCCUUUGACGAGCUGCAUGACGCGGCAAAGUCAACUACUGCUGUAUACAGGCUCCGUCGUCAAGCUGAGUCCACGUGGAAGCUCCUUAUCGACACAGAUAUCUACAUUCUCAGACCUCUCUCGUCCACCGCCGCUGCAGCUGCCCUGCACCCAUGGACCACGUGGGCACAACGUCCUGGCUGGUCCAGGCGGUGCUAGAGAAGUUCGUCAGCGACGACCUCGACGAUGCGACGCGCGGGGCCGACCCCGACCCUGACCCACGCAGCGAGGCCCUGCUCGGCUCUAUGAGCCGCCUCCACGGGCUCGCUAAGGACGCCGACAACCGCUUGAUGCUCUACCACCAGAUCCACGCGAACUCUAUUCGGAUGAGGAUAGUGAACAUCGGCAGAUCAAUGUUUAGAGGCGAGCUUAUGAUCUGUGAUGGGCGACUAGAAAUGUUUCGAGACAAAAAACUGCAGUUUUGAAGGUAUAGGACUAACUUGACACACUUAAUAGUUAUACGACGGUAACUAGCUAUCGUACAGUGUCUGUGAGACAUUGGAGCGAAACAAACAAGCGGGGUGCAUUUCUGUUAUUUUCGAUUUAAUUAUCAUGGAUGAAGAAGACAGCGGCUUCACGAGAGAAAAUGGCACUGCGGCAUGUUCUUGGAUCACGUCGCCCGUGUGUGAACCUCCUCCAUGGCUACUAACCUCAAAUGGUUCAUCACGUCCUUUGAGUUGGCGUGUCUUGGAUUCGUUUUUCAGUGACGUCUCUUUGAACUUUAGGAUUUCGAAAACCUAGAGAUAGGGCAAACACAUGAAUCGUGUGUCAUGUCAUUUGUCAAUACUACAAGAUGGCAAGGAAGUCUGCUUUUGCACAUGAAAACAUAUAA